rnacentral:rRNA from 1 species
UGGGGAAUAUUGGACAAUGGGCGGAAGCCUGAUCCAGCAAUGCCGCGUGUGUGAAGAAGGCCUGCGGGUUGUAAAGCACUUUAAGCAGGAAAGAAGGGUGGGGUGUUAAUACCAUCCUGCAUUGACGUUACCUGCAGAAUAAGCACCGGCUAACUCCGUGCCAGCAGCCGCGGUAAUACGGAGGGUGCGAGCGUUAAUCGGAAUUACUGGGCGUAAAGCGCGCGUAGGCGGUUAGAUGAGUCCGUCGUGAAAGCCCUGGGCUUAACCUGGGAACUGCGGUGGAUACUGUCUGGCUAGAGUGUGGUAGAGGGCAGUGGAAUUUCCGGUGUAGCAGUGAAAUGCGUAGAGAUCGGAAGGAACACCAGUGGCGAAGGCGGCUGCCUGGACCAACACUGACGCU